GGUGGAGCGGCGAAAUGCGUAGAUAUCUAUCGGAACGCCAAGGGUGAAGACAGGCGACUGGGUUGGUGUUGACGCUCAGGCACGAAAGCGUGGGGAGCGAACGGGAUUAGAUACCCCGGUAGUCCACGCCGUAAACGAUGUGCACUAGAUCGAGGAGGUUUUGACGCCAUCUCGGUCGUAGCGAAAGUGUUAAGUGCACCGCCUGGGGAGUACGGUCGCAAGGCUAAAACUCAAAGGAAUUGACGGGGACUCACACAAGCGGUGGAGCAUGUGGCUUAAUUCGAAGCAACGCGAAGAACCUUAUCCAGGGUUUGACAUGGUUGGAUUAACUUCCUCAAAGGGAAGCCACGCCCUCUGGGUGGAACAAUCACAGGUGCUGCAUGGCUGUCGUCAGCUCGUGCUGUGAAGUGUCGGGUUAAGUCCCUUAACGAGCGAAACCCCUGUCGUUAGUUG
rnacentral:rRNA from 1 species